rnacentral:rRNA from 1 species
AUGAAAGUAAUUCUGUGGAGAUUGGCUCAUAAUUGUCUCCCAACAGGUGCUCAACUUAAAGUGAGAUCGAUCCCCACAAGGUAUGAUUGUCAUUUCUGUAGUAGGGAGGAAACCGUUGAGCAUUGUUUUUUGCACUGCCAUUAUGUUAGAGAAAUCUGGAAAGAACUCAAGAAAGAAUAUGGUAUUUGCCUGAAACUGAAAAGUUUAAAUCACAUUAGGCAAUGGCUUUUAGAGUGGAUAGAAAACGCUACAGAGUUUCACUCUAUGAUUAUGGCAGUGGCAAUAUGGCACAUAUGGGAGAAUAGAAAUGCUUAUCGUAAUGGGGAGGCUUUAAAUCAUCCUCGUCGUGUGGUGGGAAAGAUCAAAGCUUAUGUUGAAUUUAUUAAUAUGCAUUCUUUCAGCUCGACCACUUCCAUUAGAUGUGAGACCUUGGAGUCGAACAAAAGAUGGUCUCCGCUGCCGGAGGGGUCAAUGCUCGUCAGUGUGGAUGCAGCGAUCUUCUCCCAAUCAGCAAGAGCGGGCUUUGGUGUGGUGAUACGUGAUCACCGGGGAAGGGUGCAGGUGGCGAACAGAGGCUACUUUGAAAGAGUUCAAAUUCCUGAAGUAGCGGAAGCCAUGGCACUUCAUCAAGCCUUAAUCCUUGCCAAUAGCACUGGUAUGAGGAAGAUCAUGGUAGCAUCUGACUGUCUAUCAUUGAUAAACAAGAUCAAGGGUUCAGGUUUUGAUAGGUCCCCUACUGGAGCCAUAGUCCAUGAUAUUAGGAAAUGCCACAAAGUUCGUAUCUUGUAG